rnacentral:rRNA from 1 species
AGUGAACGCUGGCGGUAGGCCUAACACAUGCAAGUCGAACGGCAGCACAGUAAGAGCUUGCUCUUACGGGUGGCGAGUGGCGGACGGGUGAGGAAUACAUCGGAAUCUACUUUUUCGUGGGGGAUAACGUAGGGAAACUUACGCUAAUACCGCAUACGACCUACGGGUGAAAGCAGGGGAUCUUCGGACCUUGCGCGAUUGAAUGAGCUGAUGUCGGAUUAGCUAGUUGGGGGGGUAAAGGCCCACCAAGGCGACGAGCCGUAGCUGGUCUGAGAGGAUGUGCAGCCACACUGGGACUGAGACACGGUCCACAGUCUUACGGGAGAGAGCGGUGUAGAAUAUUGGACAAAGGGGGCAAGCCUGUUCCAGCCCUACCGCGUGGGUGAAGAAGGCCUUCGGGUUGUAAAACCCUUUUGUUGGGAAAGAAAAGCAGCAGGUUAAUACCCCGCUGUUCUGACGGUACACAAAGAAUAAGCACCGGCUAACUUCGUG